AUCUUUGCGUUUGGUGCAAUGACGCAGCUAGUGAGGUAAUAACCGAGCCGCGUCUAUUACUGGUUGAAAACUAUAUCCAAACCCCCUCUUAGGUCUGGGUUCAUUCUUGGCCUUCAAGAAUUUUUAGAAGGACUCCCAUCGGGGUAAAGCC